rnacentral:rRNA from 1 species
AUUGAACGCUAGCGGGAUGCUUUACACAUGCAAGUCGAACGGCAGCGCGGACUUCGGUCUGGAGGCGAGUGGCGAACGGGAGAGUAAUGUAUCGGAACGUGCCCAGUAGCGGGGGAUAAAUACGCGAAAGCGUAGCUAAUACCGCAUACGCCCUACGGGGGAAAGCAGGGGAUCGUAAGACCUUGCACUAGUGGAGCGGCCGAUAUCGGAUUAGCUAGUUGGUGAGGUAACGGCUCACCAAGGCGACGAUCCGUAGCUGGUUUGAGAGGACGACCAGCCACACUGGGUCUGAGACACGGCCCAGACUCCUACGGGAGGCAGCAGUGGGGAAUUUUGGACAAUGGGGGCAACCCUGAUCCAGCCAUCCCGCGUGUGCGAUGAAGGCCUUCGGGUUGUAAAGCACUUUUGGCAGGAAAGAAACGUCGCGGGCUAAUACCCCGUGGAACUGACGGUACCUGCAGAAUAAGCACCGGCUAACUACGUG